GACAGAGGCCUCAAGCGUUAGGCGGAAUCACUGGGCUUAAAGCGUGUGUAGGCGGAUCGUUAAGUACCUUGUGAAAUCCCACGGCUCACCCGUGGAACUGCUGGGUAUACUGGCGGUCUUGGGCCAACUAGGGGCAGCUGGAACAAGCGGUGGAGCGAUGAAAUGCGUAGAUAUCGCCUGGAACGCCGAAGGUGAAAACAGGCUGCUGGGGUUGUGCCGACGCUGAGACACGAAAGCCAGGGGAGCAAACGGG
rnacentral:rRNA from 1 species